rnacentral:lncRNA from 15 species
CUGAAGCCAGACAUCUGCAAGCCACCAGCACUCACGAGAAGUCUGGGGGAAUCCCUGCACUCGGAUGUGAGGCCCUCUGAAUCCUCGUGAUCUCUGAUGUCCUCAUCCCUCCUCACCCUGUCCAAUUUUCUAAGGAGCCUACAGGUUGAGAUAUCAUCCUUUUCUCAAUUCAGAAGAGGUCAGUGGAAUUCCUUUUGUGGUGCUCAGAGCACUGAAAAAUGCCUCCCUGUUGCUCAGGAUAACAUUAAAUACACUGUCAACAGUUUUCAUUGAGAUGUUUUCUUUGGUAGAAAGUAAUUCCAUAUUCCACAUUUAUACAGUGAAACCUGUGAAUUAUGAGUAAUGGGAAAACUAAAAUGUUCCAAUCUUCAUAUCAUUAAAUCAAUUAAUCAUUUAAGUGAUUUAUCAAGCAAAAAUAAUGAAUAUUUGCUGGUUCUAGCCUCUCAAAUAAUUGCAACAAUGGUACGGGUUUUGCAUUGCUGCUCAAACAAAACAGCAAUUUGAAGAGGUCACCUUGGGCCCUGGAAAAUGACAAUGGGCAUUUUCUUUCACUAUUUUCGACGUUUCAAAGAUUAAACUAGUAAUAAAUUAUAUUUUUUUUAAAAACAAUUGAUUUUAGGAGUAAUGAAUGAUUGAUUGAUUAUCUUCAACCGCAGCACUAGUUUUGCGAACCACAAAUUCCAUUCACCUCCAUUGGGUUUGAGGCAGAG